GCUGGGAUAGCUAGAUAAACCACCCAGAUGGGUGUGCGAUAUGACUGUGUAUUUGAAGGAAAGCAAAAUAUCAUGGCCUUACAUUGGCUAAUAAAAGAGAUGCUAUAGGUGUUCAUUAGCUUGUACUAGUCUUCCUCCCAAUAGCUUAAGAUUUUGAGCUGAGUUUAUGGUAAAUGGUAUCAGAGCAGGGCUUCAUAUGUGUCACAAGCUUUAUUAGUUAUGUAGAGCUUUCAUUGGGAGAUGUCAAGGUUGAGUAGGAUUCGGGCCAUAGGUGGGCCUCC
rnacentral:lncRNA from 1 species